rnacentral:rRNA from 1 species
AACGAACGCUGGCGGCAGGCCUAACACAUGCAAGUCGAGCGGGACCUUCGGGUCUAGCGGCGGACGGGUUAGUAACGCGUGGGAACGUGCCCAAAGGUACGGAAUAGCCUCGGGAAACUGAGAGUAAUACCGUAUGUGCCCCUCGGGGGAAAGAUUUAUCGCCUUUGGAUCGGCCCGCGUUGGAUUAGGUAGUUGGUGGGGUAAUGGCCUACCAAGCCGACGAUCCAUAGCUGGUUUGAGAGGAUGAUCAGCAACACUGGGACUGAGACACGGCCCAGACUCCUACGGGAGGCAGCAGUGGGGAAUCUUAGACAAUGGGGGAAACCCUGAUCUAGCCAUGCCGCGUGAGCGAUGAAGGCCUUAGGGUUGUAAAGCUCUUUCAGAUGGGAAGAUAAUGACGGUACCAUCAGAAGAAGCCCCCGGCUAACUCCGUGCCAGCAGCCGCGGUAAUGUAU